rnacentral:rRNA from 1 species
UACGGGGGGGGUAAGCGUUGUUCGGAAUUACUGGGCGUAAAGGGCUCGUAGGCGGCCAACUAAGUCAGACGUGAAAUCCCUCAGCUUAACUGGGGAACUGCGUCUGAUACUGGAUGGCUUGGAUUCGGGAGAGGAAUGCGGAAUUCCAGGUGUAGCGGUGAAAUGCGUAGAUAUCUGGAGGAACACCGGUGGCGAAGGCGGCAUUCUGGACCGACACUGACGCUGAGGUGCGAAAGCGUGGGGAGCAAACAGG